rnacentral:rRNA from 1 species
UACGAAGGGGGCUAGCGUUGCUCGGAAUUACUGGGCGUAAAGGGCGCGUAGGCGGCCUGUUAAGUCGAACGUGAAAUCCCCGGGCUCAACCCGGGAACUGCGUCCGAUACUGGCAGGCUUGAAUCCGGGAGAGGGAUGCGGAAUUCCAGGUGUAGCGGUGAAAUGCGUAGAUAUCAGGAGGAACACCGAUGGCGAAGGCAGGUCUCUGGGCAUUAACUGACGCUGAGGAGCGAAAGCAUGGGGAGCGAACAGG